CGGCGAACGGGUGAGUAACACGUGGGUGAUCUGCCCUGCACUUCGGGAUAAGCCUGGGAAACUGGGUCUAAUACCGGAUAGGACGAUGGUUUGGAUGCCAUUGUGGAAAGUUUUUCGGUGUGGGAUGAGCUCGCGGCCUAUCAGCUUGUUGGUGGGGUAAUGGCCUACCAAGGCGUCGACGGGUAGCCGGCCUGAGAGGGUGGACGGCCACAUUGGGACUGAGACACGGCCCAG
rnacentral:rRNA from 1 species